GACAGUCACUUGACCAUCCUUUAAGCCUGUGUGUCAGCACUCCUGUUGGCCUCUCUCUUUCAGCCAUAUCUUUCUAUAGAGUGCUGUGGUACCAGGUCAGCUCCAGAAGCUGGCAGAAAUGGGAAGGGUCCAGUCCCAGACUGUUCCCAGCAAGAGACGCCCAGGAGAGAAAAUCAUGGAAGAUGCAAACGAAGCCCAAAUUGUGAGUCAACCAAAGAAGUCAAGAGGAGAUGGAGUUCCAGGGGGGAAGGCUGAAGGUCCUCAGGUCCUUCUGAUAAACCUCGGUUUCUGCAUGAAAUCUGGAACUUCAUGCAAGUGUGUUUCAGGGACUUAGAGUCCACUGUCAGUGUGGAGAGAAGAAUGGCAGUGUGAAGGCACAUGUGCUGCUGAAGGAGGAUCUCAGAGUUCUACAUCUUGAUUUCAACACAGCCAGGAGAAGACUGUCUUCCAGGAAGCUAGAUGUUGUUUUCCAGAUAUGCCUCAGUUGGAUGAUAUAUUUUCCUUGAUUUUUGUUUUUUUCUCUGGAUUUUGGAGACUGGGAUUGCUCUGUGUUGUCUGUUUUCUUGACAAGUUCUGAUGGUGUGUUCAGAAGAAAGACCCGUAGUUGAUAGAGUUUAUGAUACUGGACCGUGUUGAGGAAAGAAAUUUGGAGGUCACAGUGUUCCUUUGAGAACAAGAAUUAUUCUCUCAUUUACAUCCUCCAAAAAUGUAAGAAAACCAACUCUAUUGGGCAGUGUCUUAAUUACUAGCCUCAACCCCUUAUAAAGUGCCCUUCAUCAUGGAGCAAUGCAUUGUGAGAAGGCACAGAUAUGCUGCUGCUGCUGCUGCUGCUGCUGAUGAUGAUGAUGAUGAUGAAGGUGUUAACAGGAAAAAGAAUAUUUGUGGAGGCAGUGGGGAACAUGAAGAGAGGUAUUGGACAGCUGGGUACUUGAAGGAAGAUGCUUGAGGGUGGAAGAGAAAUAUCAGGUUGGAGGUGGCUUUGUUGAUUUGACUGUAUGAAUGAAAUAGCUAAGAGAACAUUCCAGAGAAAUAUAUACCAAAUUUAAGAAAAGAAUAGAGGAGAGACCUCAGUUUAAAUUCCUGUAAUUCAUUCUAUGAUCCUUAAUGUGAUAUUGACAUUGCAUUGAUGCCCUAGAGUUUAGUACAUAACAGAUAUAAGCAAAAGCCUCAGGAAUCAAUGUUAUUUUUGAUUAAAUAACAAAUUUGAAGCCAGUUUCACCAUGCAGACACCCUAUCAGAAAAGCAAACAAUAAGAUAGAA
rnacentral:sRNA from 1 species